AGUAGAAUUGCUGGAUCAUAUGGUAACACUAUGUUUAACCUUUUGAGGAACUGCCAGACUGUUUCCCAAAGUGGCUGUACCAUUUUACAGUGCCACCAGCAGU
rnacentral:pre_miRNA from 1 species